rnacentral:lncRNA from 1 species
AAACGUAGUCAGAAACAAAGCCAAAGUCAAAACGGAGAAACACAACUGAACACAACAAGCGCUAAAGGGAACUGAUACAGAAACCACGAUAGGGCAGGGAGUAAAGGGAGAGGUAAGUAUAUAUAGCUUCUAAACUAAUGUGAUUGGCUCCUGUCAUAUCCACACCCCCAAAAGGUAAGUGUAUGGGGAUUGUGGCAUGACAGGGGCCAAUGGGAGCCUUUUAACAAUUUAGGCUCCCACUGUCUCUUUAAGAGCUCUUAGAUUCAGGCGGGACACGUGACCGCUUCUCGCGGUCACUGCCCGCCUUCCUGUUGAGGCCGUCGGAUGAGCCGCGCGCGGCUCGUGCAGCAGCAGGACCGCGCGCGGCUCGAAGAGAGGACCGCGGCCGGCCCCUGGAUAAGGUGAGUAACGCUCCAAAGUUAUCAUGGGUGACUUUAAUCUUCCUGUUGUGAACUGGAAAACCAAAAUAGCUGUUUGUGCCAGGAGCACACAUAUUCUGAAAUCCCUACUGGGACUGUCUCUAAAACAAUAAGCAAAAAAUACAAAUUGUUGUGUAGGCACUUCAAAUAUUUAUUACGUGGGUGUAAAAAAGGUGUAAUUCCUUAUCACCUAAAAACCAAAUAGAUGAUAGAAAAAAAAUUGAUUCACACACACAAAGUAGGUGUAAUAUACCAAUAUACCACCUUUAACAGGUAUUAAUAAUGCAGUUCCAUCUGAAAAACAAAUAAAACAUACAUAGUGCUCUCCAUAGCAUGUAAAAUAUAGAGAUUAAAGUAUAUGUGGAAUGCACUCACAAAGAUGGAGCCACGUAGGCUCUAUGAAAACAGUCCUUGGGUGCAUGUCCAGGCUCUCGAUAUAUGUCAGUGAAGUACAAAUGUAUUAUAAUUGAAUAUAAUUAAAAAUAUGUAGAUAAUAAGGGACAAAAGUAUGGCAGGUGUCAGGGAGCCGCGGGCGGCGAGGAGGGGAGGCUGCACGCCACUUGCAGCACUCACCCUCAGUCCAUCGCCGCCCGCGGUCUCCUCUCUGCUUACCUGUCGGCGAGCGGCGUCUCCUCUGUGCCGCUCGCCGCCAGCGUCCUCCAUGCCCCUCAGCGGCAGCAUGUAUAACGCUGCACGCUGGGAGGUCCAGGAGUUAAGUAAACGCCGGGGUCACAUGAGUGACCCGGCGUUAAAGAAACAGUACCACAAUCACAGUGGGGGGUAUAGAUAUCCCCCACGUGUGAUUGUUAAUUCUGAUUGGAAGUUGUCCAAUCAGAAUUAGACCUAGGGUAUUUAUACUUACCUUUCCUGUCCCUCAGUGCCCUGUUGUGGUCUUGUGAUACCUGUAGCAUAGUGUUCUCGUCUUGCUCUCUGGUUACCGUUUACUUGGCUCGUUAUUCCGAUUAGUCUGUCUUCUCCAUUCCUUUGACCUCGGCUUGUUUCUCGUUCUACCGUUUUCUGGCUCCCUUUACCUGGCUUGUCUCCUGACUAUUCUUAGCGUGCUUAGCCCGGCCACUCUAAGGUCCGGUACGUCACCUUUUCUGUGUGUGUGUGUGUGUCAGCGUGUUAGGUUCCCCGAAUCGUGACAGCAGGUAUCUUAGGAAAUAGUAAUACAACGCAAGUUUGGCCAAAGAAAAGAAGCAGUGUAAAUACAAAUAGAUACAAACAUAAUUAAAUACCGCCAACAAAAAGUCCCAGAAUAUGUCCAGUUGGUAGCAAACGCGUUUCAGUCCCAGGUGGGGCCUUCCUCAGUGCUGUGUCGCUGUUCCAUCUUCAGUGAAGUGACAAAACCGUCAACGCACUCGAGCUACAGCCGGAACAGUUUAAACACUUCAAGAGGGGUAUUUAAACCCUGAAGAUGGACCAGUGACAAAUAGCAAAUGUUGAGUUGAUAAGCAUAUAUGGUGUCAAUGUAAAUGUUGCAAGUGGCAAUAGGUUAAGAUGAGGCUGUAUUCAUGACACCAUUUGACACUGGUAGCAGAGGAGUUAUGUGAAUCUCUAUAAGUGCUCCAACAUACUACGCAGACCAUACUAAUGAAGGUUGCAGGGAUAUAUGAUGUCACAUAUAUAAUGUCACACUCUAGCCUCCUCCAUCUGGCAAACAUAUAAGCAGUAUGAGAGUAGGAGCAUCCACACAUCUGAUCUGAGAGUUUUGUGUGCAGAAAAAAACACACCUUUGCACUUGUCCUCUCAGUCCAAAGUUUGCCAGCCCUGCCAUGGGGGCUUUCCAUACUAGCAUAGGGUUUUUGGGGAAUGGAUUAGAUGCUUAUGGAGUUAUGAUUGGGAUCCUUAAGAGACUACAACUAUAAAAUUAUUUCUCCCAACUAAUAAACACCAAUAAAUCCUGCUAAAGCAGCAUUAAGACUACCAGUCAUUUAUUGUAACUUGUACAUUCAUGUUCGAAUAACACAUGAGCUCUACACCUUUUGAAACCCCUCUCUGGAGGUUGUUUUUGCAAGUGAUGAAGGGGUCAGGCUGUCUGGUCCCUUGGUCCAGUGUAUUAGACAUCAUGUGCAAGGAUAUGAAGCCAAACCCCCAGCCUGUAGAGCACAGACUUCCUGCUCCCCACCAGUUAUAGGGGAACGUUAAAAUAGGGGACAAAACAAGCAGGAUCAAACAGCACAUGCUUAUAUCAUAGAACAAAUGAGCAUCUGAGAUAAAUGUGACCUAACUUGUGAAUUAAACAGUUUUCAAUCUAAAACAAUAAUUUCAUUAUUAAAGUGUUUGAAAGCUUUGUAUAUUACAAAUCAAC